UUGAAUUGGUUAUAAAGUUAUGUAAAAAUGAAUGGUUGUGGUUAAAAGGAAAAAGUGGGAUCAUGUCUCAAAAUGAAAGUGAUACACUUUUAUGGAACGGACGAAAAUGGAAAAUGCAAUACACUCCUGCGGGACAGAGGGUGUAUUAUAUAUCGAUAUAAUUCAACCAACUUCUAACUAGUCUAUUAGUUUUUUUUUUUUAAAUGAUCUAUCUAGUCUAUUAAUUUGUUAAUACAGAUUAAAUGAGGCCGACAAUUUAGUAAGACAAAGUUUGUUACACUCCAAAACU
rnacentral:lncRNA from 1 species